AACUACUGGAAACGGUAGCUAAUACCGCAUAACGUCGCAAGACCAAAGAGGGGGACCUUCGGGCCUCUUGCCAUCGGAUGUGCCCAGAUGGGAUUAGCUAGUAGGUGGGGUAACGGCUCACCUAGGCGACGAUCCCUAGCUGGUCUGAGAGGAUGACCAGCCACACUGGAACUGAGACACGGUCCAGACUCCUACGGGAGGCAGCAGUGGGGAAUAUUGCA
rnacentral:rRNA from 1 species